UAGGGAAUCUUCCGCAAUGGACGAAAGUCUGACGGAGCAACGCCGCGUGAGUGAUGAAGGUUUUCGGAUCGUAAAACUCUGUUGUUAGGGAAGAACAAGUACAAGAGUAACUGCUUGUACCUUGACGGUACCUAACCAGAAAGCCACGGCUAACUACGUGCCAGCAGCCGCGGUAAUACGUAGGUGGCAAGCGUUGUCCGGAAUUAUUGGGCGUAAAGCGCGCGCAGGCGGUCCUUUAAGUCUGAUGUGAAAGCCCACGGCUCAACCGUGGAGGGUCAUUGGA
rnacentral:rRNA from 1 species